CAGUCGCCGCGGUAAUACGGAGGGAGCUAACGUUGUUCGGAAUUACUGGGCGUAAAGCGCGCGUAGGCGGUUACUCAAGUCAGAGGUGAAAGCCCGGGGCUCAACCCCGGAACUGCUUUUGAAACUAGGUGACUAGAAUCUUGGAGAGGUCAGUGGAAUUCCGAGUGUAGAGGUGAAAUUCGUAGAUAUUCGGGAGAACACCAGUGGCGAAGGCGACUGACUGGACAAGUAUUGACGCUGAGGUGCGAAAGCGUGGGGAGCAAACAGGAUUAGAGACCCCGGUAGUCCCUGUCUCUUAUAC
rnacentral:rRNA from 1 species